rnacentral:rRNA from 1 species
CGAACGCUGGCGGCGUGCUUAACACAUGCAAGUCGAGCGGUGAGCCUCUUCGGAGGGGAUCAGCGGCGAACGGGUGAGUAACACGUGGGCAACCUGCCCCAGACACCGGGAUAACCCAGGGAAACCUGAGCUAAUACCGGAUACUCCGCGCAGAUCGCAUGAUCUGUUCGGGAAAGCUCCGACGGUCUGGGAUGGGCCCGCGGCCUAUCAGCUUGUUGGCGGGGUAACGGCCCACCAAGGCGACGACGGGUAGCUGGUCUGAGAGGAUGAUCAGCCACACUGGGACUGAGACACGGCCCAGACUCCUACGGGAGGCAGCAGUGAGGAAUUUUCCACAAUGGGCGAAAGCCUGAUGGAGCAAUGCCGCGUGGAGGAAGAAGGACCGUGGUUCGUAAACUCCUUUUCUCAGAGAAGAAGAUCUGACGGUAUCUGAGGAAUAAGCUCCGGCUAACUCUGUGCCAGCAG